UAAGGAAUAUUGCUCAAUGGGAGAAAUCCUGAAGCAGCAACGCCGCGUGGAGGAUGAAGGGUCUAUGACUUGUAAACUCCUGUAAAGAAGGAAAAAAUUCCCAUUAGAUGGGAGAUGAUGGUACUUCUGGAGUAAGCCCCGGCUAACUACGUGCCAGCAGCCGCGGUAAUACGUAGGGGGCAAGCGUUGUCCGGAUUUACUGGGUGUAAAGGGUGCUCAGGCGGAUUUGUAAGUCAGAGGUGAAAGCUUACAGCUUAACUGUGAAACUGCCUUUGAUACUGCAAGCCCAGAGUAUGGAAGAGAGUGAUGGAAUAUCUGGUGUAGCAGUGAAAUGCGUAGAUAUCAGAUAGAACACCAAUGCCGAAGGCAGUCACUUUGUCCAUUACUGACGCUAAAGCACGAAAGCGUGGGUAGCAAACA
rnacentral:rRNA from 1 species